rnacentral:rRNA from 1 species
GAUGAACGCUGACAGAAUGCUUAACACAUGCAAGUCGAUGGGGAAGUGGUGCUUGCACCAUGGCAACCAUGGCGGACGGGUGAGUAACGCGUAAGGGACUUACCUGCAGGACUGGGAUAACAGGGGGAAACUCCUGACAAGACCGGAUAAUGUCAUGGAGCUGCAUGGCUUUAUGAUGAAAGGAGACGCCUGCGGAGAGCCUUGCGUCCUAUUAGCUAGUUGGUGAGGUAAUGGCUCACCAAGGCGAAGAUAGGUAGCCGGCCUGAGAGGGUGGACGGCCACAAGGGGACUGAGAUACGGCCCUUACUCCUACGGGAGGCAGCAGUGGGGAAUAUUGGACAAUGGGGGCAACCCUGAUCCAGCAAUUCUGUGUGCACGAAGAAGGUUUUCGGAUUGGAAAGUGCUUUCAGCAGGGAAGAAGUAAGUGACGGUACCUGCAGAAGAAGCGACGGCUAAAUACGUG